GGUAAAUAAAAACAGAUCUGCAUUGUCUAAGGGAGUGUCCAAGAGAUUAUCUCGAGGCUUUUCUGCCAUGGACACUAAAUGUUUCACAGUUAUGUAAUGGUUCUCCUGAAGUAGGUAAAUCUGGAAGCAAGGUGGCAGGGUUAGGAGUUGAACAGCGUUUCAAGGUAUCUGUUUAGGCUGGGCCAAAAGGCCCAAGCCCUUAGAUAGCUGGGGCAAAGAAAAGAGAUCAGUCCCUAUUACUCACGUGACCAAAAUGGAGAAACAGUCUCAGGGGCCCCCACCUUCAGCUUCCUUCAGAGCAAGCUUCUCAGAGUCCUAAAGUAAUCUUAAGAAGGGAAGAGAAGGAACCUCCCAUGCCAAUGGGGUUCCCAUUCCAAUAGACUAUCAGUAAGAAAUUUUCCAAGUAUGAAAUAUCCCAAUGGUGAAAUUUCCAACAUUUAUAAGUCUAAGGAAUUUUGAGGUUUACAUAUCACACAUUCCUUUAUUUUAAUGAAAAAAUGUGCAUGAUACCCAUUUUGUUUUUGCUUCUUUUUCAGUUUCUCGGCUGAAUUCUGUGGAUGCAGUUAUCCAUUGAAGGCUUUUGUUCUGCUCUUGAGUCUUAGCAACUUUCUCACUCCAUUUGAAGGUAUGGGGACACAAAAAUAGAUAUGCCGUAGACCCUAAAGAAGUAUAUAGUCUAAUGUGGGUAGUAUGGGAGGAAGACGUAGCAGUACAACAAUGACAAAAACAGUAUGGGGACUUCACGUGAUCUUGAAAUUUGAGCCUGGCAACAUUUCACUAGAAUGCUUGGACAUUGGACAAUCAGCUCUAGGCUGCUUGAGAUCAAGAAGAUAUUUACAUUCUCUCAAAACUGAAUGGACUGCCUAUGAUGGGAAUCUUUUGCCAAGUGAAAUAACUCUAUUACGUCCCAUUCUAACAUAAAAGACCUAUUUGUUAAAAGACCAGACCAAACUCUGAAAAUAAAAUCAGUAACUGAAUAGCUACUAUGUUCA
rnacentral:lncRNA from 1 species